UACGUAGGCAGCGAGCGUUGUUCGGAGUUACUGGGCGUAAAGGGUGUGUAGGCGGUUGUUUAAGUUUGGUGUGAAAUCUCCCGGCUCAACUGGGAGGGUGCGCCGAAUACUGAAUGACUCGAGUGCGGGGAGAGGAAAGUGGAAUUCCUGGUGUAGCGGUGAAAUGCGUAGAUAUCAGGAGGAACACCGGUGGUGUAGACGGCUUUCUGGACCGUAACUGACGCUGAGACACGAAAGCGUGGGUAGCAAACAGG
rnacentral:rRNA from 1 species